rnacentral:rRNA from 1 species
AGUGAACGCUGGCGGUAGGCCUAACACAUGCAAGUCGAACGGCAGCACAGGAGAGCUUGCUCUCUAGGUGGCGAGUGGCGGACGGGUGAGGAAUACAUCGGAAUCUGCCCAGUCGCGGGGGAUAACGUAGGGAAACUUACGCUAAUACCGCAUACGACCUUCGGGUGAAAGAGGGGGAUCGCAAGACCUCUCGCGGUUGGAUGAGCCGAUGUGGGAUUAGCUAGUUAGCGGGGUAGUGGCCCACCAAGGCGACGAUCCGUAGCUGGUCUGAGAGGAUGAUCAGCCACACUGGAACAGAGACACGGUCCAGACUCCUACGGGAGGCAGCAGUGGGGAAUAUUGGACAAUGGGCGCAAGCCUGAUCCAGCCAUACCGCGUGGGUGAAGAAGGCCUUCGGGUUGUAAAGCCCUUUUGUUGGGAAAGAAAUCUUUCAGGCUAAUACCCUGGGAGGAUGACGGUACCCAAAGAAUAAGCACCGGCUAACUUCGUG